rnacentral:piRNA from 1 species
UGGGUCACCAAUAAAACUCGAUUAGGUUC